rnacentral:rRNA from 1 species
UGGCGGCGUGCCUAACACAUGCAAGUAGAGCGCGAAAGGGGGCAACCCUGAGUAGAGCUGCGAACGGGUGAGUAACGCGUGGGUAAUCUUCCUUCGAGUGGGGAACAACAUCGGGAAACUGGUGCUAAUUCCGCAUAACACCUCGGGAUCUAAGUUCCGAGUUCAAAGCCGGGGACCGCAAGGCCUGGCGCUUGAAGAUGAGCCCGCGUUCGAUUAGCUAGUUGGCGGGGUAAUGGCCCACCAAGGCUUCGAUCGAUAGCCGGCCUGAGAGGGCGGACGGCCACACUGGAACUGAGACACGGUCCAGACUCCUACGGGAGGCAGCAGUGGGGAAUUUUUCGCAAUGGGGGAAACCCUGACGAAGCAACGCCGCGUGGAGGAUGAAGGUCUUCGGAUUGUAAACUCCUGUCGACUGGGACGAAGGUGCCCGACCUAAUACGUCGGUGUAUUGACGGUACCAGUGGAGGAAGCCACGGCUAACUCUGUGCCAGCAGCCGCGGUAAUACAGAGGUGGCAAGCGUUGUUCGGAAUUACUGGGCGUAAAGGGCGCGUAGGCGGCCUUGUAAGUCUCGUGUGAAAUCCCUCGGCUUAACUGAGGAUCUGCACGGGAGACUGCUUGGCUCGAGUUCGGGAGAGGGAAGCGGAAUUCCGGGUGUAGCGGUGAAAUGCGUAGAUAUCCGGAGGAACACCAGAGGCGAAGGCGGCUUCCUGGACCGACACUGACGCUGAGGCGCGAAAGCUAGGGGAGCAAACGGGAUUAGAUACCCCGGUAGUCCUAGCUGUAAACGAUGAGUGCUGGGUGUGGGGGGUUUUUACUCCCUCCGUGCCGAAGCUAACGCAUUAAGCACUCCGCCUGGGGAGUACGGUCGCAAGGCU